rnacentral:rRNA from 1 species
GCCCAGACUCCUACGGGAGGCAGCAGUGGGGGAUAUUGCACAAUGGGGGAAACCCUGAUGCAGCGACGCCGCGUGGGUGAAGAAGCGCCUCGGCGCGUAAAGCCCUGUCAGCAGGGAAGAAAAUGACGGUACCUGAAGAAGAAGCCCCGGCUAACUACGUGCCAGCAGCCGCGGUAAUACGUAGGGGGCAAGCGUUAUCCGGAUUUACUGGGUGUAAAGGGGGCGCAGACGGCGAUGCAAGCCAGGAGUGAAAGCCCGGGGCUCAACUCCGGGACUGCUUUUGAAACUGUUGAACUAGAUUGCAGGAGAGGUAAGUGGAAUUCCUAGUGUAGCGGUGAAAUGCGUAGAUAUUAGGAGGAACACCAGUGGCGAAGGCGGCUCUCUGGACUGUAACUGACACUGAGGCACGAAAGCGUGGGGAGCAAACAGGAUUAGAUACCCCGGUA